rnacentral:rRNA from 1 species
AUUUAAAAGUAAAAAUAUAAACUUGAAUAUUAAUAGUUAUUUUCUUUAAAAUCAAAGAAUUUGGCGGUAAUUUAGUCUUGUUAGAGGAACCUGUUUUAUAAACGAUAAAUCACGCAAUAUCUUACUUAUUUUUGUAAAUGUGUUUCAGUUUGUAUACCUUCAUUAUUAAAUAAUUUUGUAAAAAAUAAUUAUUGAGAUUAAUAAUUAAUUUAAAGAUAUUAGAUCAAGGUGCAGCUUAUAAAUAAGUAAAAAUGGGUUACAAUAAUAUAUAAUUAUACGGAUAGUAAAAAGAAUAGUUUAUUUUAAGGUGGAUUUAAUUGUAAGGGUGCUUUAAUAAGUCUCUCUGAUAUUAGCUCUAAGUUAUGUACAUAUCGCCCGUCACUUUCAUUUAAAAU